rnacentral:rRNA from 1 species
UACGUAGGGUCCGAGCGUUGUCCGGAAUUACUGGGCGUAAAGGGCUCGUAGGCGGUUUGUCGCGUCGGGAGUGAAAAUCCAGGGCUUAACUCUGGACUGGCUUUCGAUACGGGCAGACUAGAGGUAUGCAGGGGAGAACGGAAUUCCUGGUGUAGCGGUGAAAUGCGCAGAUAUCAGGAGGAACACCGGUGGCGAAGGCGGUUCUCUGGGCAUUACCUGACGCUGAGGAGCGAAAGUGUGGGGAGCGAACAGG